rnacentral:rRNA from 1 species
GAUGAACGCUGGCGGCGUGCCUAAUGCAUGCAAGUCGAGCGAAUGGAUUAAGAGCUUGCUCUUAUGAAGUUAGCGGCGGACGGGUGAGUAACAUGUGGGUAACCUGCCCAUAAGACUGGGAUAACUCCGGGAAACCGGGGCUAAUACCGGAUAACAUUUUGAACCGCAUGGUUCGAAAUUGAAAGGCGGCUUCGGCUGUCACUUAUGGAUGGACCCGCGUCGCAUUAGCUAGUUGGUGAGGUAACGGCUCACCAAGGCAACGAUGCGUAGCCGACCUGAGAGGGUGAUCGGCCACACUGGGACUGAGACACGGCCCAGACUCCUACGGGAGGCAGCAGUAGGGAAUCUUCCGCAAUGGACGAAAGUCUGACGGAGCAACGCCGCGUGAGUGAUGAAGGCUUUCGGGUCGUAAAACUCUGUUGUUAGGGAAGAACAAGUGCUAGUUGAAUAAGCUGGCACCUUGACGGUACCUAACCAGAAAGCCACGGCUAACUACGUGCCAGCCGCCGCUGUAA